rnacentral:lncRNA from 1 species
CUCUUUGUUUCAUUAAAAUUAAUCCCAAUAACAAUAAAUUACUUAUUAAGUACAUGUUAAAUAAAUAUUAAGAAAGCACACACAUCUAUCAAGUAAAUCAUAUAUGGAGUAACCAAUACAUAAUCUAUUUGGACAUAGUAAUUACGAGAAAGAAGCGCGUGGUGUUACAGGUAAUGUCGUCAAUGGCCAUGAAACCGGGAUGGCAUUUGUUCAAGCAACUAGUGUGCAAAGUAACAAUCUGAGAUCUCUACAAGUUGAAAUGCCUUUCACCUUUUCCUUUAAGGGCUCGCAGCCUUGACUAAACCCAGAUCAAAACAUUCCUUGCAAUAAACAUAUUCGUGGCUGACUUUUCAUUAUCUGACUAUUGAACACCUUCAAGGUGCCUUGUGUUUGGAAACCCACAGAGGCUAAACCCUUUAGAUUAUUUAAGCUGUAAAGGUAAGGACAACUAACGACUACAUCCUAGAGGUGGUCGCCGGUCAUAGUGCUUCGACGGAUGUCGUCGGAGGUGGUGGAGUCCAGUGGUAGUCUUGAUAAUUCUGCAGAAGCCGUGGUGGCUUCGCCGACACUCGUUGGAGAAUAAGCAGCAUCAAUGGUAGGCACCAGAUGUUUGAGCUUAGCUAAGGCUUUAGCCGAACCGCUGACCACAACCGACUGGGUUUUGGAGAUGGCUUCGGACUUUUGGGAUAAAUUACAUUUUUCUCCUGCCAUUUCUUCUCUGAUCUGAAACUCCUUUACCCAGAUGGCUUCAGGUUUAAACCUCCUUUUUAUUCCAGACAUUACGCCCCUGUUUGGCCCCCAUUAUGGGGACAAUUUAAUGUAUAAAAUAGUGUUUUUUGAAAAAUGAGUGGUUGAAAAAGAAAGAAAUUUUUUUGAUUUACGUGUAAUAUUAUUUUAUGGAAGAUUGUGUGAUUGAAAAUAAAAGAGAGAAAAAUAGAAUGUAAUGUAAUGUAAUGAAAAUCAAAUAACGGCGUC